rnacentral:rRNA from 1 species
GAUGAACGCUAGCGGCAGGCUUAACACAUGCAAGUCGAGGGGUAGAAGUUGCUUGCAACUUUGAGACCGGCGCACGGGUGCGUAACGCGUAUGCAACCUACCUUUUACAGAGGGAUAGCCCAGAGAAAUUUGGAUUAAUACCUCAUAGUAUAUAAUCUUCGCAUGUUGGUUAUAUUAAAGUUCCAACGGUAAAAGAUGGGCAUGCGUCCUAUUAGCUAGUUGGUGUGGUAACGGCACACCAAGGCGACGAUAGGUAGGGGUCCUGAGAGGGAGAUCCCCCACCAUGGUAAUGAAACACGGACCAGACGCCUGCGGGAGGCAGCAGUGUGGAAUAUUGGACAAUGGGCGCAAGCCUGAUCCAGCCAUGCCGCGUGCAGGAAGAAGCAUCUAUGGUGUGUAAACUGCUUUUGUACAGGAAGAAACACCCCUUCGUGAAGGGACUUGACGGUACUGUAAGAAUAAGGAUCGGCUAACUCCGUGCCAGCAGCCGCAGUAACAC